UUGCCUCAGUAACGGCGAGUGAAGCGGCAACAGCUCAAAUUUGAAAUCUGGGUCUUUCAGGCUCCGAGUUGUAAUUUGUAGAAGAUGCUUACCGGGUGUGGCUCCGGUCUAAGUUCCUUGGAACCAGGACGUCAUAGAGGGUGGAGAAUCCCGUAUGUGACUGGGUUGCCUUCGCCCAUGUGAAAGCUCUUUCGACGAGUCGAGUUGUUUGGGAAUGCAGCUCAAAAUGGGUGGUAAAUUUCAUCUAAAGCUAAAUAUUGGCCAGAGACCGAUAGCGCACAAGUAGAGUGAUCGAAAGAUGAAAAGCACUUUGGAAAGAGAGUUAAACAGUACGUGAAAUUGUUGAAAGGGAAGCGCUUGCAACCAGACUUGCACGCUGCUGAUCAUCCGGGGUUCUCCCCGGUGCACUCGGUGGUGUUCAGGCCAGCAUCGGUUUGGGUGGUUGGAUAAAGGCCUUGGGAAUGUAGCUUCUUUCGGGGAGUGUUAUAGCCCUCGGUGCAAUGCAGCCUACCCGGACCGAGGACCGCGCUUCGGCUAGGAUGCUGGCGUAAUGGUUGUAAGCGACCCGUCUUGAAACACGGACCAAGGAGUCUAACAUCUAUGCGAGUGUUUGGGUGUCAAACCCAUACGCGUAAUGAAAGUGAACGGAGGUGAGAACCCUUCAGGGUGCAUCAUCGACCGAUCCUGAUGUCUUCGGAUGGAUUUGAGUAAGAGCAUAGCUGUUGGGACCCGAAAGAUGGUGAUCUAUACUUGAAUAGGGUGAAGCCAGAGGAAACUCUGGUGGAGGCUCGCAGCGGUUCUGACGUGCAAAUCGAUCGUCAAAUUUGAGUAUAGGGGCGAAAGACUAAUCGAACCAUUAAAAAACUACUAGGUGGUUUAGAGGACCCUAAUACGGUUCUUAGUCCUGAUUCAUUCAGGGCAACACUAUCAAAUUGCCGGGGGACGUCCUGUCACUGCCCAGACUACCGCAGCGUGCUCGAAAGGGCCGCGCGCACCGGGUUUAAAUGCCCCCGGGGAUGGUAAUAACGUCUGGCUAGGGAUUAUCCGCAGCCAACUCCUACGGGCCUCAGGGCCUACGGACGCAGUUCACAGACUAAAUGGUAGUGGGCCGGUACGCUGUACGGGCUUAAGUUAUAGUCGAUU
rnacentral:rRNA from 1 species